CCUGGUGGCUGAGACGGUAAAGCGUCUGCCUACAAUGCGGGAGACCAGGUUCAAUUCCUGCAUCAGGA
rnacentral:tRNA from 1 species